rnacentral:rRNA from 1 species
AUACGUAGGGGGCAAGCGUUGUCCGGAAUUACUGGGCGUAAAGAGCUCGUAGGCGGCUCAGCAAGUCGGUCGUGAAAUCCCCGGGCUCAACCUGGGACCUGCAUCCGAUACUGGCAGGCUAGAGUCUGGUAGAGGGGGGUAGAAUUCCUGGUGUAGCGGUGAAAUGCGUAGAUAUCAGGAGGAAUACCAGUGGCGAAGGCGGCCCCCUGGACUGAGACUGACGCUGAGGUGCGAAAGCGUGGGGAGCAAACAGGAUUAGAAACCCCGGUAGUCC